rnacentral:rRNA from 1 species
ACGGCUCAGUAACACGUGGACAACCUGCCCUGAGGACUGGAAUAAUCCCGGGAAACUGGGGGUAAUUCCAGAUAUGUCAGAACUCCUGGAAUGGGUUCUGGCAGAAAGGCUCCGGCGCCUCAGGAUGGGUCUGCGGCCUAUCAGGGUAGUAGUGGGUGUAACGUACCUACUAGCCUACGACGGGUACGGGUUGUGAGAGCAAGAGCCCGGAGAUGGAUUCUGAGACAUGAAUCCAGGCCCUACGGGGUGCAGCAGGCGCGAAAACUUUACAAUGCGGGCAACCGCGAUAAGGGGACCUCGAGUGCUGGGUUACAAACCUGGCUGUUGGGCUGCCUAAAAAGCAGUCUAUAGCAAGGGCCGGGCAAGACCCGUGCCAGCCGCCGCGGUAACACCGGCGGCUCGAGUGGUAACCGCUAUUAUUGGGUCUAAAGGGUCUGUAGCCGGCCGACUAAGUCUCUUGGGAAAUCUGGCAUCUCAAGUGUCAGGCUGCCAGGGGAUACUGGUCGGCUUGGGACCGGGAGAGGUGAGAGGUACCUCGGGGGUAGGGGUGAAAUCUUGUAAUCCUCGAGGGACCACCAGUGGCGAAGGCGUCUCACCAGAACGGAUCCGACGGCAAGGGACGAAAGCUAGGGGCACGAACCGGAUUAGAUACCCGGGUAGUCCUAGCCGUAAACGAUACUCGCUAGGUGUCGGCCACGGUGCGACCGUGGUCGGUGCCGUAGGGAAGCCGUGAAGCGAGCCACCUGGGAAGUACGGCCGCAAGGCUGAAACUUAAAGGAAUUGGCGGGGGAGCAC